rnacentral:rRNA from 1 species
AGCCGCGGUAAAACGUAGGGGGCUAGCGUUGUCCGGAAUUACUGGGCGUAAAGCGCACGCAGGCGGUCUGGAAAGCGGUGGGUGCAAUCUCGAGGCUCAACCUCGAAACUGCUCGCCGAACUACCAGACUUGAGCACGGGAGAGGACAGUGGAAUUCCCGGUGUAGCGGUGGAAUGCGUAAAUAUCGGGAGGAACACCAGUGGCGAAGGCUGCUGUCUGGAACGUUGCUGACGCUGAGGUGCGAAAGCCAGGGGAGCGAACGGGAUUAGAUACCCCGGUAGUCCUGGCCGUAAACGAUGCUCACUAGGUGUUGCCGGCAUUAACCCCGGCAGUGCUGUUCUGCUAACGCGUUAAGUGAGCCGCCUGGGGAGUACGGCCGCAAGGCUGAAACUCAAAGGAAUUGACGGGGGCCCGCACAAGCGGUGGAGCAUGUGGGUUAAUUGGAUGCUACGCCAAGAACCUUACCAGGGCUUGACAUGUUGGGGCCCGCGUGAGAGAUCACGUUUUCUCCGCAAGGAGACCCCAUCACAGGUGGUGCAUGGCC